rnacentral:rRNA from 1 species
UACGUAGGGUGCAAGCGUUGUCCGGAAUUAUUGGGCGUAAAGAGCUCGUAGGCGGUCUGUCGCGUCUGCUGUGAAAUCUCAGGGCUUAACCCUGAGCUUGCAGUGGGUACGGGCAGACUAGAGUGCGGUAGGGGAGACUGGAAUUCCUGGUGUAGCGGUGAAAUGCGCAGAUAUCGAGAGGAACACCUGCGGCGAAGGCGGGUUGCUGGGCUGAUACUGACGCUGAGGCGCGAAAGCCAGGGGAGCGAACGGG